rnacentral:rRNA from 1 species
UAUUGGACAAUGGGCGAAAGCCUGAUCCAGCCAUGCCGCGUGUGUGAAGAAGGUCUUCGGAUUGUAAGGCACUUUAAGUGGGGAGGAAGGGCAGUAAGUUAAUACCUUGCUGUUUUGACGUUACAGACAGAAUAAGCACCGGCUAACUUCGUGCCAGCAGCCGCGGUAAUACGAAGGGUGCAAGCGUUAAUCGGAAUUACUGGGCGUAAAGCGGGGUUAGGUGGUUUGUUAAGUUGGAAGUGAAAGCCCCGGGUUAAACCUGGAAAUUGCUUUAAAAACGGGCAAGCUAAGUUAUGGGAGAGGGUGGUGAAAUUCCCUGGGUGACGUGGAAAGGCUUAGAUAUAGGAAGAAACCCAAGUGGGAAAGCCGCCCCCCUGGCUAAUACUGACACUGAGGUGCGAAAGCGUGGGGAGCAAAC